rnacentral:rRNA from 1 species
ACACGGAGGGUGCGAGCGUUGUUCGGAAUCACUGGGCGUAAAGCGGGUGUAGGCGGUCUAGCAAGUCAGAUGUGAAAGUCCAGGGCUCAACCGUGGAAGUGCAUCUGAAACUGUUAGACUUGAGUACUGGAGAGGGAAGUGGAAUUCCUGGUGUAGGGGUGAAAUCCGUAGAUAUCAGGAGGAACACCGGUGGCGAAGGCGACUUCCUGGACAGAUACUGACGCUCAGACCCAAAAGCGUGGGGAGCAAACAGGAUUAGAAACCCUAGUAGUCC